rnacentral:rRNA from 11 species
AAUCCAUAGGUUAAUGAGGCGAACCGGGGGAACUGAAACAUCUAAGUACCCCGAGGAAAAGAAAUCAACCGAGAUUCCCCCAGUAGCGGCGAGCGAACGGGGAGGAGCCCAGAGCCUGAAUCAGCAUGUGUGUUAGUGGAAGCGUCUGGAAAGGCGCGCGAUACAGGGUGACAGCCCCGUACACAAAAGCGCAUGUGCUGUGAGCUCGAUGAGUAGGGCGGGACACGUGGUAUCCUGUCUGAAUAUGGGGGGACCAUCCUCCAAGGCUAAAUACUCCUGACUGACCGAUAGUGAACCAGUACCGUGAGGGAAAGGCGAAAAGAACCCCGGCGAGGGGAGUGAAAAAGAACCUGAAACCGUGUACGUACAAGCAGUG